ACUCCUACGGGAGGCAGCAGUGGGGAAUAUUGCACAAUGGGCGCAAGCCUGAUGCAGCAACGCCGCGUGAGUGAUGAAGGCCUUCGGGUCGUAAAGCUCUGUCCUCAAGGAAGAAUAAAUGACGGUACUUGAGGAGGAAGCCCCGGCUAACUACGUGCCAGCAGCCGCGGUAAUACGUAGGGGCAAGCGUUAUCCGGAAUCACUGGGCGUAAAGGGUGCGUAGGCGGUUUUCAAGUCAGAAGUGAAAGGCUAUGGCUCAACCAUAGUAAGCUUUUGAAACUGUUAAACUUGAGUGCAGGAGAGGAAAGUGGAAUUCCUAGUGUAGAGGUGAAAUUCGUAGAUAUUAGGAGGAACACCAGUGGCGAAGGCGACUUUCUGGACUGUAACUGACGCUGAGGCACGAAAGCGU
rnacentral:rRNA from 1 species